AGCAGCCGCGGUAAUUCCAGCUCCAAUAGCGUAUAUUAAAGUUGUUGCAGUUAAAAAGCUCGUAGUUGAAUUUCGGGAUCAAUUAAUCGGUCGUGCCUCUGGUACGCACUGGUUUUAUUGGUUUCUCCCUUCUGACGAACCAGGAUGUCAUUAAUUUGGUGUCUUGGAGAAUCAGGACUGUUACUUUGAAAAAUUGAAGUGUUUAAAGCAGGCUAACGCUUGAAUACAUUAGCAUGGAAUAAUGAAGUAGGACGUUUGAUCCUAUUUUGUGUUCUAGGAUCGACGUAAUGAUUAAUAGGGAUAGUUGGGGG
rnacentral:rRNA from 1 species